rnacentral:rRNA from 1 species
ACCCGCGUUCGAUUAGCCAGUUGGCGGGGUAACGGCCCACCAAAGCGACGAUCGAUAGCCGAUUUGAGAGAAUGACCGGCCACAUUGGGACUGAGACACGGCCCAAACUCNUACGGGAGGCAGCAGUGGGGAAUAUUGCACAAUGGGGGGAACCCUGAUGCAGCGACGCCGCGUGAGUGAAGAAGUAUUUCGGUAUGUAAAGCUCUAUCAGCAGGGAAGAAGAUGACGGUACCUGAGUAAGAAGCCCCGGCUAACUACGUGCCAGCAGCCGCGGUAAUACGUAGGGGGCAAGCGUUAUCCGGAUUUACUGGGUGUAAAGGGAGCGCAGACGGCUAUGCAAGUCUGAAGUGAAAGCCCGGGGCUCAACCCCGGGACUGCUUUGGAAACUGUGUAGCUAGAGUGUCGGAGAGGUAAGCAGAAUUCCCAGUGUAGCGGUGAAAUGCGUAGAUAUUGGGAAGA